GCCAUGCGCCCCUCACCACCCAUGCGCGCGCCCAUGCAUCGCACAACAGUCAUGCCCUAGUCCACCUGCCGCACACUAGCGAGGUUAAUGUCAUGCCCUCACAGGCAUGCCAUCUAGCACAUGGCUCCAACCCGUGCCUUACAAGCAAGGCCAGUGGCAUGCCAUCCAGCACAUGGCUCCAGCCCAUGCCUUGCAAGCAAGGCCAGUGGCAUGCCAUCAAGCGCAUGGCUCCAGCCCAUGCCUUGCAACUUCAAUGCCCAGGCCACCAGCCUGGUCCAUGCAAAGCCAACGCCCAGGCCACCUACCUGGGCCAUGCAGCGCGCACACAUGGCUCACUAUCAGCAGGCCUUGCAUGGCACCAU